UCCAGACUCCUACGGGAGGCAGCAGUGAGGAAUAUUGGUCAAUGGGCGGGAGCCUGAACCAGCCAAGUCGCGUGAGGGAAGACGGUCCUACGGAUUGUAAACCUCUUUUGCCGGGGAGCAACGGGGUCCUUGCGAGGGCCCGAUGAGAGUACCCGGAGAAAAAGCAUCGGCUAACUCCGUGCCAGCAGCCGCGGUAAUACGGAGGAUGCGAGCGUUAUCCGGAUUUAUUGGGUUUAAAGGGUGCGUAGGCGGGCUGUUAAGUCAGCGGUAAAAAUGCGGUGCUCAACGCCGUAUCGCCGUUGAAACUGCGGGUCUUGAGUGAGCGAGAGGUAUGCGGAAUGCGUGGUGUAGCGGUGAAAUGCAUAGAUAUCACGCAGAACUCCGAUUGCGAAGGCAGCAUACCGGCGCUCAACUGACGCUGAGGCACGAAAGCGUGGGGAUCGAACAGGAUUAGAUACCCGCGUACAG
rnacentral:rRNA from 1 species